CGAAGGAGUGAUCCGGAGCGAAUCCCAAAAAUAACGUCCCAGUUCGGAUUGCAGUCUGCAACUCGAGUGCAUGAAGCUGGAAUCGCUAGUAAUCGCGGAUCAGAAUGUCGCGGUGAAUACGUUCCCGGGUCUUGUACACACCGCCCGUCACACCAUGGGAGUCGGAAAUGCCCGAAGUCAGUGACCCAACCGCAAGGAGGGAGCUGCCGAAGGUGGAGCCGGUAACUGGGGUGAAGUCGUAACAAGGUAGC
rnacentral:rRNA from 1 species